rnacentral:rRNA from 1 species
AGAACGAACGCUGGCGGCGUGGAUAAGACAUGCAAGUCGAACGGGAUUUCAUGAGUAGCAAUACAAGUGAGGUCUAGUGGCGAACGGGUGCGUAACACGUGGAUACAUUCCGGGAAGCGGGGGAUAGCCCAGGGAAACUUGGAUUAAUACCGCAUGUGGUCGAAAGCCUAAAGGCAGGGACCGCAAGGCCUGCCACUUCCCGAUUGGUCCGCGGCCUAUCAGCUAGUUGGCGGGGUAAAAGCCCACCAAGGCUACGACGGGUAGCUGGUCUUAGAGGACGACCAGCCACACUGGAACUGAGACACGGUCCAGACACCUACGGGUGGCAGCAGUCGAGAAUCUUUCACAAUGGGGGCAACCCUGAUGGAGCGACGCCGCGUGGACGGAUAAGGUCUUCGGAUUGUAAACUCCUGUCAUGUGUGAACAAGGUUGUCGUGUUAAUAGCAUGGACAAAUUGAUGGUAACACAAGAGGAAGAGACGGCUAACUCUGUGCCAGCAGCCGUA